AUGAUUCAAUAUAUGGUUGAUGGCCACCACUCCCUCUCUUGAUUGAAGAUAUUCAGCAGCAACCAAUGCAGCAGUUCAUCAGAUCACAACAUUUCCUGAGAUUUUCUCACGCAUCGACUCACUCUCUUCCUGAACUCCUCCUUGCUAUCUCUCCAUUGUUUCGCAGCGUCAACAUUGGCAGGAGACUCAUCGUUAGGACUUGAAAGCAUUGAUAUGAUGCUCAAAACAAUGCUUUCUACUGUGUGGACUGGACUCCAUCGCUCAGUCGCAAGCUCAUAGCCAUUUGGGUCAUCGCCAGGUGGAUGAAGAAUUGAUAUGCAAAC
rnacentral:misc_RNA from 1 species